GGCGAUGCCCAGCCAACACCUCCGGCCCGCAGCCGCUUCGGCGUGCGCCUCCGGCCGCUCGCAGCCCCCACAAAUUGGAGCCCCUGGAGGAUGGGAGAGGAAGGAGUGCGGCCAAUCUGGAACGCGGCUUUCUUUUUGGAGACGGUGAGUUCUCGGGUUGAUUCGCGGCUUGCUGAUUCGUAGAUGAGACCCCUGAUCUCUAUUGGCUUCCUCCGAGUGAUGAAGUUGUUUGGCGCUAGUGGCUGGCACCCCAGGGAUGAUCACGAUUAGAUCACCUUUGCUUUCUCUCUUCAUAUCAUAGGUGAAAAAUUCACCACCCCCUGAGAGUUAAAUUAGAAUAGUGGUAAAAUCUCUGUAUUGCAAAUUUACACUAAGAAUAGUGGUAAAUAAAAAAGAGAGGUAUACAAAUGAGAAAUCUAAAUCCUUUUUACAUAUUCAAUGGAGAGCUGCAAUAGCUUCAGUACUCAAGUAUGGGAUAUCGUUAUCAGUAUUUCGACAAAUAUUUUAGUGGCAUAGUGCCCUGGAUAGUAUAUUCUGUAAACGUGUUGCUAUGCAUGCACACACGAACAACUUGCUCGUGGCACAGUUAAAAUCUUAGUUUUGUUUCCUGAGAAUAUAUAAUUUGGGCCAUGAUGGCUGAUCUGAAGCAAACAAUUGCCGACCAAGGAACUUUUCAGAAACAUUAAACAUUAGGCUUUCGUGAUAGUAGCGAUAAACAGUGUUGUGCUUUAUUGGUUCAUUUUAGUUUUCUUAUUUGGAAAUGGCUAUUUCUCCAGCUGUGUUGUUCUAAGGUAUAAUGCUGCGUUCAAACCCAAAGAUUGCAUGUUCUACAUUGCUGCUGAUACAGGUUUAUAGAAUUUUUCUUACUGCUUGUGGCUUGACAUAUAAAGUACAUUCAAACCUACAGAAGCAUAAGAUGCAUCUAGUUCGUACCUCAGUUGUGUUUUCAUGAUGCUUUCAGGAUAAUCUUCUUUUUAUGCUCCAGUCAUUCAUUGCACUAUCAUCAUCUUCAAUCUCUAUGGUUGGUACAUGAGCAAUUUUAUGCCAAUCUUCUCCCUGGCAACUCUCUGUUAUCAGUGGGCAUUCUUUGAUGUACAAUUCUUUCAGUGACUGUGGGAGGGCCUGUUCUGGCAAGCAUGGUAUAAGAGGACAUUUCACAAUGGUCAUAGCUGUUAAACACAACGCUUCUUCUAGCCCAGGAGGCAAGCAUC
rnacentral:lncRNA from 1 species